AUUGAACGCUGGCGGCAGGCCUAACACAUACAAGUCGAGCGGAUGAAGGGAGCUUGCUCCUGGAUUCAGCGGCAGACGGGUGAGUAAUGCCUAGGAAUCUGCCUGGUAGUGGGGGAUAACGUCCGGAAACGGGCGCUAAUACCGCAUACGUCCUGAGGGAGAAAGUGGGGGAUCUUCGGACCUCACGCUAUCAGAUGAGCCUAGGUCGGAUUAGCUAGUUGGUGGGGUAAAGGCCUACCAAGGCGACGAUCCGUAACUGGUCUGAGAGGAUGAUCAGUCACACUGGAACUGAGACACGGUCCAGACUCCUACGGGGGGCAGCAGUGGGGAAUAUUGGACAAUGGGCGAAAGCCUGAUCCAGCCAUGCCGCGUGUGUGAAGAAGGUCUUCGGAUUGUAAAGCACUUUAAGUUGGGAGGAAGGGCAGUAAGUUAAUACCUUGCUGUUUUGACGUUACCAACAGAAUAAGCACCGGCUAACUUCGUG
rnacentral:rRNA from 1 species